AUACGUCGUGUCUGCAGGGUCCUCGAAAUUCCGACAAAAACAGAAGGAAAGAAAAAAAAAGAAACACGGGCGCGUGUGUGCGCGCGCGUGGGUAUUGUAGGUGGAGGCUGUUCUUACAAACCCCCUCAGCUCACAGAGCUCUGAGACAGUCUCCGCUGUGCACGGCUCCGAGUGAGUCUGUUCUCAGCUGAAGUGCAGACCGGUGAAAAACAGUGAGCGGAUAGUUGAAAAAGAAGAAGUUUAAAUCAAGAAGCCCUGCUCAACAUGUGUGGAAAGAAAAUCCUGCAGAGCCUGUGUCAUGAAUCUGCAGAAAUCAGCAGGAGGGGUGGUGUCUACUCUCAUGUCUGAUUCCCUAUCCUGCCCAUUGUCGUGCCGCCAACAGAGAUUCUGCUGUUAAGGAGCUCCUGAUAGUGGUGGACGAUAACUAAGUACUGAAGCAGGCACUUCAAGUCAAAUUGACCUUUUUGGGGCUACAACAAGGCUGGUAAGAGGACAAAGGAGCUUUUUCCUCUUCGUGAUGUUUGUUAUAUUGCCGACAUGCUCCUGGAAAUAUCAGUAUCAGUAAAAAAUUUACCCCUGUCAUUAUUUUUAUCAAUUCAAACGUGGUCAUUUGUACUCAGUGUAAACCACAGCAGUAAGACAGGAAGGCAAAUUGGAGAUAUCAAGAUGUAUUCAUACACUUUCUCUCAUAAAGGGCCAUUGUGUGCUAUCUCUUCUCUGCUCUGCUGGCUGUAUUUUGAAAAGAUGAAACAUCCAUGAAUGUCACAGUGGCAGAGGAGCGAUGGGCGGACACUGCAAAGUUGGCUCCCAAUUCCAGAUGUAAGCCAGAACUAGUGCUGUGUGAUAUGACCAAAGUCUCAUAAUCAUAUGCAGGUUCUUGUCCUGAUAACAGAAUAACCAGCCCACUGAAUGAAUGAACAUUCAGUGGGCUGGUUUCAGUCAUUGUACAAAUGUACUGUUUAUAAAGUUGGGGAAGCCUGCAGUCAGCUGACACUGAAGAAGUCACUUGGAUGAGUGAUGAAACGUUUCUCCCACUGAAAACGCUGCGUCCAGAUAAACAAAAUCAACCUUUUGGGAUUUACUGGAUGAUUGAACAUGCAUCAAGAAAACACAGUGGAGUAAAUUUUGCGAUCAUUGACCAUAAUUUCAGUUUGCAGCAGCUGUUUUACUUCCAGUCUGCCUGCAGAUGAUUAGCAGGUGCUUACAUUUAACUCUGUUAGUAAAAUGACUUCUCCUGCUGUUGGCUUAUCAAACAGAGGCAAGCUGGCCAUUGUGCAUGAACUUAUACUCCCUCAGUGUGCAUUUGAUGAAAGGUACAUUACAGUAACAGUGGACUAUUGUAGGCUGCUCUUUUUAUGACUGGGAUUUUACACACAAACACAAUAAUUUACUUUGACCACAAACAUUUAAACAUUUCAUUCAGAACACUUUGUUUUGAUUAUUUUUAAAAAAUGUCUUUAAUGUCUGUAAGAUCUUUAAUAAUAUUAUAUAAGGUAUUUCAGAAGUUGUUGUAAUAUUAAGUUUCAGGCUUUAAUUUUUGAUGACAGAUCAUAUUGACUGAUUAUUCUGAGAGGCUAUGAGCCUGGCUGAGAAUAUUAUAAGAUUGAAUCGAACAAGGAAAAUGAAAAAGGAAUAGAAAAGGACAUGAGGAAAAGGAAAGAAAAAAUGUAAAGUGGGAUAACGCAGAGUAGAGAGGGUAGACGUGAGAUGAGUCAGUAAGAAAUUAGGAGGAUAACAGAGACAUGAGAUGAAGAAAUGAAAAAAGAUGUAAAGAUGGCACAGGAAAAAUGACAGAAAGAGGACAGAAGGAAAAAAAGAGGUGAAUAAGUUUCCUCCAGUCCCACCUGAAACACAGAGAGCUGUUCUGACAUCCAUCUCUCUGUUUAUUCUGUGUAUUUAAUCUAUUUUUUUGCAAAUAUAUAUGUAUGUAUGGUUGUUUGCAGUUUUUAAAGGAGUGACACUGUAAUUUUGACUUUAAAAAAACAUAUUCAUUCAUUCAUUCACUGCUUUCACUGUAUCUUCAAACUUCUCUGUCGUGUUCCACACUUCCUGAAAAUAGAUUUUUUAAACAUGUAUUAAUGUAUUUUUUUUAUCUGGCCAAACACUCUUUAGCUCUUAAAACUCGUCUUCUCUGUUCUUCUGGUCAAAGGGCCUUUUUCUUUCUAAAAUUGUUUGAGCAGAACUGUGGGGUUGUAAAUCCGCAUAAAUGUACUCUAAAGUUCCCUACUGUGUGUAUGCAGGUGGGUUUUUCGCUUCCCUCCAAACUCUAAUCUCUCACUUGGACUUGAGUGACUUUUGCAUGCAAGCGAGCGCUUCAUUGUGUAAUUAUCUGAGUCUUUGCAUAUGUGCAGUUUGUAACAAGCAAAUUCCAUUCAAACCUGUUCUAUGACUUGAUCCACAUGAUGAGUUUGUAAGAGUGUUGUUCAGACUCUGGCCAGUCUGCAAGUGUUUGUUUUAUAAUAAAAAAAUGUGGAGACAGCAGCAGAGUGGCUGAGAUACAGAAAGGAUGCAUUCAAUGAAGAUCUGGUGAAAAGAUGGUGAGUCCCUGUGUAAAUCUGUACUUUCUUACUUGCAUGUUCAAAAGGUUCAAAGGGUUUCAGCAUUAUGUUUGACUUCUUUGUUGUUCUAAUCUUGGUUUUCUCAGUGUUGUGCUACUUUACCAGCUAACAUCAUAUAUACAUAUAGAUACUGUAAAUAAUACUGGAAUUUAAGUCACUAACAACCUGGGAAAUUGAUUUUUAUUCAUUUUACAUGGGAUAUUAGUAUUAGGAGCCCUGCGACAGACUGGCGACCUAUCCAGGGUCCCUGCCUCGCGCCCUAAGACAGUUGGAAUAGGCUCCAGCCCCCCCACACUGACCCUCAAAAGCAGAAGCAGAAGAGAAUGGAUGGAUGGGUGGAUAUUAGUACUAGGGACCCACUUAUCCAAUAGUUUGAUUAGAUAUCAGUCUUAUAUCUACUCAAAAACCUCGAUCUGAUAUUGGUGACAAUGAGCUGAUCUACAGGAUUAUUCACUUCUGGUUUUACUUCAGUAUGCCACAGGAGGUCUAACGUAGCAUGGAGGAAGCUAAGUGGACAGCAACAGCAUUGUGGGCGUGUUUUGCCCCACCCACAAGUUUAUUAUUAUUAUUGUUAUCAUUACUUGACUUCAACUUAUAUUGAAGUUAACAGGACUGAUAAGACCAACUUAGAUGCUUUGGCUUCUCUCGUUUGUUCACUACUGUUACUCUUUAUGUUCACUCAUAAUCACCACUGAAUACCAGUUCACUACAUUUAUAUACUUGGACAUAUCUAUUUGCCACAUUAUGUUUUUUUAGUUAGCAGAGCAGUGUUUAAGUGGAGCCUGAUGUUGCAUAAAGAUUGAUCCUCAGUCUCUUCCUCACAGUGAGGACCAGAGCUUAUUCAUUUCACACUGGCUGUGAGAUCAAUGCUCAGUAUCAGCUGAGAGGUUUUUUCUAAACUGUAACUGUAAUGUUUUGUGACAUCAUCUUUAAUCUCUCUCUAAUUUUAUUCCCUGAAACAUUUUCAUUUUAUUUUUCUGAUUUCUCCCUUUAUGUCUUUACUUGUGUAAUUUAGUGCUGUGGGUCCAACAUCCUUUUUUCCUCAGCUACACAAGCUUUAGUGGAGAGUGUACAGCUAGUGUGUGAACAUUAAACACACACCACACACUCUCCCUGCCUCUCUGUAGAUGCACGUUUACAAAGACACAGGGACAGAUAACAGAUGUAAUAGACAGUGGAGGAAAAUAAGUUUUUCCUUUAACAGUUAAUGUUGCUGUGUCUCUGAGAUGCUGACAGUGGUGGAAUAAAUCUGUACAUUUACUUCACUCCUGCAUUUAACUAAGGACAGGUUUCUAGAAUUUAACAUAUCAGGAUAUAAAACAUAUAAUCUAGUCCUUGUCAGGCUUUAAAAUGAGGUAAAUACCAAUGAUGUAUUACACAAAUUACACUAGAAUGUUUUUAUUAAGAUGCAAAAUCCUAACAUCUUUAAAACUGUAUGAUGAGUAAUAACAGGUAACAAGUGUUGGUUAAUGUUUUACUGAAAAUAACAUCAGCCAGGGAAGAAAAAUCACGAUGA